AUGAAUGACCGGCUGAAUAGGCCUUUUGAUGCAGCUGAAGUAGAGAAAGCGUUGUUUGCCAUGGCGCCGUCGAAGGCACUGGGUGCAGACGGCUUCCAUGCAGGGUUCUAUCAGCAUCACUGGUUGCUAAUAAAGGAGGAUGUUACCCGAGCUGUUUUGAACUUUCUAAACGGCGGGCAUAUGCCGGAAGCUGUUAAUAAAACUGUAAUAGUACUUAUCCCAAAGGUCAAAAACCCGAGGAAUAUUUCGCAGUACAGACCGACCUCUCUCUGUAAUGUCAUUUACAAAAUUUGUUCUAAAGUUUUGGCUAACAGGUUGAGGGAGGUGCUGGAUGACAUCAUCGCAGAGGAGCAAAGCGCUUUUAUUCCUGGUCGGUUGAUUACAGACAACGCCAUCACAGCUUAUGAAUGUAUCCAUGCAAUGAAAUGGAAGAGAACCAAGCAAGGGUGGUGUGCGGUCAAGUUGGACAUGAUGAAGGCGUACGAUCGUAUAGAAUGGGCGUAUCUCCAAGGAAUCAUGUUGCAGCUGGGCUUCUCUGAGGAAUGGGUAUCCCUGGUUAUGGGACGUGUAAACUCUGUUACAUUUCAGGUGAAGAUGAAUGGAGAAUUAUUGCCAUCUUUUCGCCCCUCCAAAGGCUUACGGCAAGGUGACCCCGUCUCCCCGUACUUGUUUUUACUUUGCGGGGAAGGACUCUCUUGUUUACUGAAGAAUUAUGAUGCGGGAUUGGUUGAUAGAGGCAUAUGGCCAGGGCUGAAAGCCCCUUGGAUCUCGCACUUAUUAUUUGCGGAUGAUUGUCUAGUCUUCAUGAAGGCGGACUCAAGGAGUGCACAAAGGCUAAAUGAGAUUCUUCAAGCAUAUCACCGGGGCUCGGGGCAGUGUGUGAACAAGUUCAAGAGCUCGGUUUAUUUCAGCCCAAAUGCAAGGGCGUCGACGAAGGCAGGGGUAAGGAGCAACUUGCAGAUCUACAGAGAAGCUCUUGCAGAGAAGUACCUGGGCCUGCCCACGGCGGCUGGCCGGAUAACAGAAGACAGUUUUGUACAUGUGAAGGAGCAAGCAAGGUCCAGGGUACAAGGAUACUGUGAAAGACUAAUGUCAAUUGCGGCGAGGAUGGUUCUUCUUAAGGUAGUGAUUCAAGCUCUACCGGCCUAUUCUAUGAGUUGUUUCAAGCUCACUAAAGACUUAUGCCAGAAAAUUACGGCAGUAAUG
rnacentral:rRNA from 1 species